rnacentral:lncRNA from 1 species
UUUUAUUUAUAAAUUCAUUUAUCAUUUGGUAUAAUUAACAUCUUAAAUUUAUUCAUAGUGUAAUAAAUUGAACUAAUUAGUCUAAAAUUAGAUAAUAUAGAAUCAAUUAUUAUAAAACUAAAUUUAUAGUUUAUUAAAAAAAAUCAUAUCAACAUGAUCCUAACCAAUCUCUUGUAUUUUUACAAGCUUAAGUACAUCGAAAACAUGCAAUAAUAAGAUUUUAAAAACUACUAAAACCCUAAAAAACCAA